rnacentral:rRNA from 1 species
CUGGAUUUGACAUCCUCUGACAUCCGUAGAGAUACGGCUUCUUACGCAAGUAAGCAGAGAGACAGGUGCUGCAUGGCUGUCGUCAGCUCGUGUGGUGACAUGUCGGGUUAAGUCCCGCAACGAGCGCAACCCUUGUCCUUAGUUGCCAGCAUUCAGUUGGGCACUCUAAGGAGACUGCCGUGGUGAACACGGAGGAAGGUGGGGAUGACGUCAAGUCCUCAUGGCCUUUAUAUCCAGGGCGACACACGUGAUACAAUGGACGGUACAGAGGGAAGCCAAAGCGCAAGCUGGAGCCAAUCUCAAAAAGCCGUUCUCAGUUCGGAUUGGAGUCUGCAACUCGACUCCAUGAAGUUGGAAUCGCUAGUAAUCGCGGAUCAGCACGCCGCGGUGAAUACGUUCCC